GACGGAGGAUGCAAGCGUUAUCCGGAAUGAUUGGGCGUAAAGCGUCUGCAGGUGGCAGUUCAAGUCUGCUGUCAAAGACCGGGGCUUAACUUCGGAAAGGCAGUGGAACUGGAACAGCUAGAGUAUGGUAGGGGCAGAGGGAAUUCCUGGUGUAGCGGUGAAAUGGCGUAGAGAUCAGGAAGAACAUCGGUGGCGAAGGCGCUCUGCUGGACCAUAACUGACACUCAGGGACGAAAGCUAGGGGAGCGAAUGGG
rnacentral:rRNA from 1 species